AGGUGAAUAGGGUUGAAGCACAAAUAAUCUAUGAUCUCUUCUCAUUUUCAGUACUCAUUGACAGUUAGAUUGACUUAAAACUUGUUGCCAUGAAAGAGUCAACAGCAUUUCUUCUGACUGCUCUCAGGCCAGGGUUAAAUUGCAAGUAAUAAUUUACCUGUGACUGGUUAAAAGUCUGUGUUACCUUUAACUACAUAUAAUGGAUCACAGAAUUUACUCCUGUUCGGCCUUACCUUUUACCUUGCAAGAGGUGCAUUCUCAAUCAGUGGAUUUGGCAUGGAUCCAAUGCCAAAUGAGGUAAUGGCUCUGAAAUAAAACAGAUUACUUCCUCCAAGAACUUGGCGCUUUAGACGGAAGGUGGGAAGAGGAGCACUGGCUCAGGAGGUGAAAAAAUGUAGACAAGGAAAAAUUGUGUUCGUAAACCACCCUUCAAGAUGUGAGGUUCUGCUAAAUUGUUUUAAAGGCCGCUGGAGGUCCUGGUUGUGGUGAACUACAUAUACCUGUCUGGACACGUCCCCUGCUGACUGCUCCUGUGGCUCCUCCCACAGACCCCUGUAUAAAGAUGUUGGAGGUCUGAGCCCGGCCUCUCUGUCUCCAGGAUGUAGUAUGGUGGUCACUCACUGCUUGUUCUUUCUUCCAGUCAAUAAAAGCCGAUACCUCGCU